rnacentral:rRNA from 1 species
CCUACGGGAGGCAGCAGUGAGGAAUAUUGGUCAAUGGGCGGAAGCCUGAACCAGCCAAGUAGCGUGCGGGAUGAAGGCCCUACGGGUCGUAAACCGCUUUUGCACGGGGAUAACACCCGCCACGUGUGGAGGUCUGCAGGUACCGUGCGAAUAAGGGCCGGCUAAUUCCGUGCCAGCAGCCGCGGUAAUACGGAAGGCCCGAGCGUUAUCCGGAUUCAUUGGGUUUAAAGGGUGCGCAGGCGGCGAGUUAAGUCAGCGGUAAAAUUCCGGGGCUCAACCCCGCCAAGCCGUUGAAACUGGCUUGCUAGAGUGGGCGGGAAGUAUGCGGAAGGCGUGGUGUAGCGGUGAAAUGCAUAGAUAUCACGCAGAACUCCGAUUGCGAAGGCAGCAUACCGGCGCCCAACUGACGCUCAGGCACGAAGGCGUGGGUAUCGAACAGGAUUAGAUACCCGAGUAGUC